UUCUAGGUUAAUAAAGAGUAAUCAAAAUGACUUUGUUAAAACCCUAUUUGUGACAGGGCUUCUGUCAGCUUCUUGUUCCAUUGUGUGGAUGAUUGCUUAAGACCAUAUAAAGAUUUAUGUAGUUUGCAGACCUUCAUACUCUCCUCGUGUCUAGCAAAACCUUGAGGAAUAUGCAUAUAUACCUCCUCUAGAAGAUUCCCAUUUAGAAAUUUAUUAUGAACAUCCAUUUGAUAGAUCACCCAACUCCUAAAAGUAACAAGGGCCACAAUAGAUCUAACUGUCACCAUUGGCCACAUGUAAAAAGACUUUUGUGUAGUCAAGUUCCUCCUAUUGACUAUAUAACCCUUAGCAACCAACCUAGCCUUGUACCUCUCUAUUUCCCUUGAGGCCUUAUAUUUGAUUUUAAAAUCCACUUACACCUAAUAGGGGUCUUACCAGGAGGUAGAUUCACUAUGCUCCAUGUAUGAUUUGCUUCCAAGGCAUUAAUUUCAAGCUAUAUUUCUUCUACCCACUUGGGAUACACCACUACUUUUGUAAAGUUCCUAGGUUUAGUAGCAGCUGAGUAAGCUGACACUGUAUCUCUAUAAGGAGGUUUGACAUUAUCAUAGGUGGCAUAUGAGGAAAUUAGAUAGUGUCACACAUUUUUUUCUUAGAAGUGGUCACAUAAUCUUGCAUCUAGAGAUGGGGGUCUCCCCUGUCUACUUUAUCAUUGCAUCUAGAGGUGGUUCAGGUAAAUGUUCAUCAAGGCCUAGAUUUUCUACAGUUAGUGCCAUAGUUGCAGAAGGUUGAGUCUCCAAUUGACCUUCAAUAUCAGAUAAAUGAAGUGAAGGACCAGAGACCCUUGUAGUACCACUGGAUGGUGUAACAUUUAGAUCAGUUAAGCGACACUCACCUAGUGAUACUAAGUCAAGAACAUGAAAUAUAGGAUUGCAUGCAUCCUUCAUGUUCUUGAAAGGAAAUAAAUAUUCCUGAAACACCACAUUCCUACGUACAAAGAAGGAAUUUGUAUGCAAAACAUAUAGCUUCUAUCCCUUUUGAGAGGGAGAAUAUCCAAUCAAUACUACUUGAAUGGUUCUGGAAGCAAACUUAUGCUCUUUUGAACUAGCUGCAUAACAGAGAUAUCCAAACACUCUAAGAUGUGAAAGAGAAGGAGAUUGCAAAUGAAGCAUCUCAAAAGGAGACUUGUCAUGUAGAACUCUAAUGGAUGUGAUUUCGAGUGGAGAAACAAGAUUGAAGAUAAAAUGGAUGAUUUGAAGCUUUGAAGUCUGAGUAGAAGCCCAAGAAAUUAAGUCGGGAUCAUGUUCAGGGGUCGAGGACCAAGUAUGGAAGUCAAAAAGUGAGAAAAAAGAUUACUCUAGAAAAAAUGCACUAUCGCGCCGUGCCAUGCGCCGCGGGGCAUGGGUUGCUAGUGCAAAAUUCUUACAGAGUGAAAACAAAAUCAACUCUAUGAACUUUUUCACUAAUGCGGUGCAUGGUACGCCGCCCCGGGCACUGCGCCUAUGUAAUUUCCUUAGAGUAAUUUUCCACUUCGGCUAGAAAAGGGUAGUUUUGUCGAGUCUUGUUCCUACAUGGUAUAAAUACACCAACAACGUAAUUUUUAGAGGGCUUUUGACCUUGGAAGCUUUUGGAGAGCAUUGGAGGCUACACGACACGCGAUUUUAUCAUAUUUCCAUCAAUUCAAUAUGAGAGCUUGGAUUGUAACGUUGGAUUGAUAUUUUCUUACUCUUUAAUUCUAUUUGUGAUUACCUCCUCCAUGAUUAUGGAGUAGUUUCUAUUAGGGGUUGACAUGAUUUUGUGACUCGAUUAUUAUCUAUGGAUUUGAUCAUUAUUUGA